UGUUGAAGAUUUCUCUGAGAUUUUGUGGGCUUACGACACUCGUAGCUCACUUUCUCACUUCUCGAACCCCAGGCUAAAACUCUAGGGAACUCACCGAAAACCUUGCACCCACUUUUCUUUCUUUUCUUUCUUUUUCUCUUGGAAGGAUAUGGACUUCCUUCUCACGCACAAGACUUCUCAUGCCCCAUAAUUUUUCUCCAAAAAUCUUC
rnacentral:lncRNA from 1 species